AGAAACGCGCACUUUGGAGGACUGUGGGGGUUUCCUGUAGCUGAUGCCAAGACCCACCACGAUAGCCCAUGCUGCAAUUUCUACAAUUAAUACCAGUCAGCUAAAAAAAAAAAAAAAAAAAAAAAACCUAAAAGGAAGGAAACUUCAAUAAGUUGGAAUGGAAUCUGCUUAGGCAAACAUGGUAUUGACACUUACAGAAGGACAGAAGGGGAAAAAGGAGCGAGAAAGAAGUAUUAGGUGUAACGAGAACAAAGGGUAGACUGUAGCGUAAAUUGCUCGCUGGGCAAGACACUCUUGCUAAAAAUAAAACUGCCUGGAGAGGACAUCACAAAUAAAGAUGUGCUGUGUCCAUGGCAGGAGGAGCCAGCAGCCUUGUGAAUCAACGCUACAAUUAGAACAAUACCAAAACGGGAUCAUCAUCAAAGGCAGGUAGUCAUAAAUGUGACAUGAAUUUGAAGUGACCCAAAAAAGUUAAUAAUGUCAGCAUCCUCUUACUUUCAAGGGUGGGACCUCUCAACAGAGACCGGCCCCAUUUCUGGGUUCUAAGCAGGCUCUCGAGGUUCCCAUCAUCUGCUCGGCCAAUGUCACAUGAGAAAGGAAGGCAGGGCCUGGUUUUGUGUCUACUAGUGUAGGUCACAGAUAAUUGCAA
rnacentral:lncRNA from 1 species